AAUUAUCUCCUAUAACUUCUAUUAAUUAAAAUUAUUCUACAAUUUAAAAAUUAGAUUCUAAAUACCACCUUUCAGAGCUCUAAACUUAAUCCUGCUACAAGUGUUUCAUACUAGUGCUGCAGGUAUUUAAGAUAACAAUUACAUUAAAAGAGCACUGAGGUUGUGAAGCAUGUAUUCACCCGGCACUUAUAAUGCAUUGAACUCCUUUAAUGACUGACUUUCCGAUACACUGUUUUCUUCUAAUUGUGCGGUGUAGUCUAUGCCCUUUCUAUUGUACACAAUGCACCUCCUGCACUGAAUUAACUUAGAGGUUCUUCCAUAAAACACAUCUGUAUAGGAACGGAAUACAAAGCAUUUGUAUUUAUAAAAUUUCCAUGAGAUUAGAGAUAUUAUUCUCUCUUUGUUGCUGACUAUGAAAUGCACAGAGACACUAAGGUCAAAAGUACUUACUAAAUUUGGUUACUCAAUUUGAGACACAACAUGAUUUUUCAGUGUAUGCAGCAUAAUACAGGCUUCAUUAGAUUCAAAGUGCCUCUGUUAACUUCAGAGGCCGCUAUGAGCACUCUUUCAAAUGAAGCUGCAGUACUUCAAGUCCAAUAUCCAUAAAACAACUACAAAAUGGAUGACCAUCUAAGAAUAAAUGCCACAGUGGAGUGGGGAGAAGAGCAUCAGGAAGGUUGCUACUGCCACCACGACGAGAUGCUAGGUCUGCUUUGGACUGCAAAUGCAGAAAGGAAUAUUUAAGUAUUUGGAAGAUGUUUGCUAAACAGCUUUUCCCAUCCUCUCUGGGAAAGCAGACAGAUGGGAAUGUACUGGGUGGUAGAUUCAGUUCAUGGCCUAUUGGCUGAACUACAUUGAUCAGAGGCAAUAAAACACUCAUAUCUG